rnacentral:rRNA from 1 species
UACGGGGGGAGCAAGCGUUGUUCGGAUUCAUUGGGCGUAAAGGGCGCGUAGGCGGCCAGCACAAGUCAGUUGUGAAAUCUCCGAGCUUAACUCGGAACGGUCAACUGAUACUGUGCGGCUAGAGUGCGGAAGGGGCAACUGGAAUUCUUGGUGUAGCGGUGAAAUGCGUAGAUAUCGAGAGGAACACCAGUGGCGAAGGCGAGUCUCUGGACGACUCCUGACACUGAGGCACGAAAGCUAGGGGAGCAAACAGG